rnacentral:rRNA from 1 species
GAAGCGGCAACAGCUCAAAUUUGAAAUCUGGCUCUUUCAGAGUCCGAGUUGUAAUUUGCAGAGGGCGCUUUGGCUUUGGCAGCGGUCCAAGUUCCUUGGAACAGGACGUCACAGAGGGUGAGAAUCCCGUACGUGGUCGCUAGCUAUUGCCGUGUAAAGCCCCUUCGACGAGUCGAGUUGUUUGGGAAUGCAGCUCUAAAUGGGAGGUAAAUUUCUUCUAAAGCUAAAUAUUGGCCAGAGACCGAUAGCGCACAAGUAGAGUGAUCGAAAGAUGAAAAGCACUUUGGAAAGAGAGUCAAACAGCACGUGAAAUUGUUGAAAGGGAAGCGCUUGCAGCCAGACUUGCUUGCAGUUGCUCAUCCGGGCUUUUGCCCGGUGCACUCUUCUGCAGGCAGGCCAGCAUCAGUUUGGGCGGUGGGAUAAAGGUCUCUGUCACGUACCUUCCUUCGGGUUGGCCUUAUAGGGGAGACGCCAUACCACCAGCCUGGACUGAGGUCCGCGCAUCUGCUAGGAUGCUGGCGUAAUGGCUGUAAGCGGCCCGUCUUGAAACACGGACCAAGGAGUCUAACAUCUAUGCGAGUGUUUGGGUGUCAAGCCCGAGCGCGUAAUGAAAGUGAACGGAGGUGGGAACCCGCAAGGGUGCACCAUCGACCGAUCCUGAAGUUUACGGAAGGAUUUGAGUAAGAGCAUGGCUGUUGGGACCCGAAAGAUGGUGAACUAUGCUUGAAUAGGGUGAAGCCAGAGGAAACUCUGGUGGAGGCUCGCAGCGGUUCUGACGUGCAAAUCGAUCGUC